CUCACGGGACUGUCACCACCAUGGCCUGGUCCCCUCUCCUCCUCACCCUCCUUGCUCACUGCACAGGAUCCUGGGCCCAGUCUGCGCUGACUCAGCCGCCCUCAGUGUCUGGAAACCUGGGUCAGAAGGUCACCAUCUCCUGCACUGGAAGCAGCUCCAACACUGGGGGCUACGGUGUGAACUGGUACCAGCAGCUCCCAGGCACAGACCCCAAACUCCUCAUCUAUGAUAAUAAAAAAGGACCCUCAGGGGUCUCAGAUAAAUUUUCAGGUUCCAAGUCUGGCAACUCGGGCUCCUUAGCCAUCCCUGGGCUGCAGCCUGAGCACGAGGCUGCUUAUUACUGCCCAGUCUUAUGA